rnacentral:tRNA from 1 species
GGAAGUAUAGCUCAAAUGGCAAGGUGCUUGCCUUACAAGCAUGAGGACUUGAAUUCAAAUCUCAAUAGUGCAA